rnacentral:sRNA from 1 species
UCUUUGCCUUUUGCAUGACUGAUAGCUGUUACUCACUGUUAACAUGCUUUCAGUCAAGUACAGAUUGUGUCCCCUGGAAAGGUAAAUGUUUGCUUUUUAUAUUGCAUCAAACUUGGAACAUCAAGGCAUCCAAAACACUAAGAAUUCUAUCAUCACAAAAAUAAUUCGUCUUUCUAGGUUAUGAAGAGAGAAUUAUUUGUCUGUGAGAUGUGAUCUUGCCAAAGCCACCAGACCUUGGCUUCCA